GCCAGCGAUAACCAAGAGGAAUCUAUCAUGGACUGAUUCGUAAUCAGUAGGUCGACGGUUCAAUUCCGUCCGCUGGCUCCA
rnacentral:tRNA from 1 species